rnacentral:tRNA from 1 species
GUUCGUGUGGCGAAACGGUAAACGCAGGAGAUUUAGAAUCUUCUCCGGCAACGGAUGCGGGUUCGAUUCCCGCCGCGAACA